rnacentral:rRNA from 1 species
UAGGGAAUCUUCCACAAUGGACGCAAGUCUGAUGGAGCAACGCCGCGUGAGUGAAGAAGGUUUUCGGACCGUAAAGCUCUGUUGUUGGUGAAGAAGGAUAGAGGUAGUAACUGGCCUUUAUUUGACGGUAAUCAACCAGAAAGUCACGGCUAACUACGUGCCAGCAGCCGCGGUAAUACGUAGGUGGCAAGCGUUGUCCGGAUUUAUUGGGCGUAAAGCGAGCGCAGGCGGAAGAAUAAGUCUGAUGUGAAAGCCCUCGGCUUAACCGAGGAAUUGCAUCGGAAACUGUUUUUCUUGAGUGCAGAAGAGGAGAGUAGAACUCCAUGUGUAGCGGUGGAAUGCGUAGAUAUAUGGAAGAAUACCAGUGGCGAAGGCGGCUCUCUGGUCUGCAACUGACGCUGAGGCUCGAAAGCAUGGGUAGCGAACAGGAUUAGAUACCCUGGUAGUCCAUGCCGUAAACGAUGAGUGCUAAGUGUUGGGAGGCUUCCGCCUCUCAGUGCUGCAGCUAACGCAUUAAGCACUCCGCCUGGGGGAGUACGACCGCAAAGGUUGAAAC